rnacentral:snRNA from 1 species
AUGCUCACUUCGGCAGCACAUAUACUAAAAUUGGAACAAUACAGAGACGAUUAGCAUGGCCCUGUGCUAGGAUGACACGCAAAUUCGUGAAGCGUUCCCUAUUUUU